rnacentral:rRNA from 1 species
UACGUAGGGUGCAAGCGUUAAUCGGAAUUACUGGGCGUAAAGCGUGCGCAGGCGGCUAUGCAAGACAGAUGUGAAAUCCCCGGGCUUAACCUGGGAACUGCAUUUGUGACUGCAUGGCUAGAGUGCGGCAGAGGGGGAUGGAAUUCCGCGUGUAGCAGUGAAAUGCGUAGAUAUGCGGAGGAACACCGAUGGCGAAGGCGGGUCUCUGGGCAGUAACUGACGCUGAGGAGCGAAAGCGUGGGGAGCGAACAGG